GCCUCUGUGGACUAGGGAAGUCCCCUCGUUGCUAUUUGGGAAUGCGCGAAUGGUUAUGUUGAGGAGACGAGGGUUCAAUUCCCUCCGGAGGUU